GGAAAGGCAAGGUCCAUUGCCCAAUGGUUAGAGCAUCUGCUUUGUAUGCAGAAGGUCCCAGCUUAAAUUCAUGACCUUUCCA